GGCGAACGGCGCUCGCGCAGCCCUGGCCCGGUCUGCAGAGUCGGAGCCCCACCGGCCUACGCGGCUGCGAGCGUCCAUCUGGACCCGUAAUGACCACCUCAAGUCACCAAGGUCCCACUUCACAGCAUAGACACCCGGGGGAGGUUGUGAAACUCAAGCUGGAGGUGGAUCUGGAAACCCGCCACUCAGAGCCAGGGUCCAAGUCCUCCUUGGGCCCAGCACCAGCCUUGACAGCCUCUGGGGCCAGUCCAGUCAUUUCAGCAGAGGCGUCUCCGUGUCUGUCACUCUGAGCCAACACACCCGGGAGCAUGGCGUGCCCUUCCAGGAUGUUUCAGCUCUCUCGUGUUCCACGAAAACCGCCAUGAGUGCUCACCGCCCCAGGGGAACGUCUUGCAGAACCCCAGCGCUGGGUGGUGCCCAGGGAUCCGUCCGUGCUGUGGGUGCCCUGGGGCCCGGCGCUGCCUGCAGCAGGACCUCUGCCGUCCUCCAGGAGUGUUUGCACGCGGGGUCCUAGAGAACAGGUGUUCUCCAGGAGUACCGUGCUGGCUCCAGGGGUAGCUGCUGGGUUUGAGGGGAGUCUGAGUGCUUUCCAGAGCAGCUGUACC
ensembl:lncRNA